GAAGGAGAAGGAGGAGGAAGGGGAGGAGAAAGACGAAGAGAUGGAGGAAAACUGAAAAUGGUUGCCUUGCUCUUCCUGCUUCCACCUCAAACCCUAAAAUGACAGUGCUACUGGCUUUCCCCCACUUCCCUGGUGACCUGUGUGAUGCAGUAAAGGCAGCCAUAAUCCCCCUGGGAACACAACUCUAUUGGCAUGGGAACCACACUUCCAUCCUCCACAGAAGCCACAGCAAGUCCCCCCGAGAGUCUGAGCUCAGACACACCUAACCCUGUCCUCACCUGUUGAUCUUUCUCUGCCUACCCUCGUGGCCGAAGACAAAGGACUUAAUCUCUUGGGAGCUCUGUGGCCCCACCCACUGCCUGAUCCUCUUUAUAUUACCACAGCUGAUAUGCUUUUGAAACUGCCACCUCCUGGCUGGAGGCCAACUAACAGAAGACCAGUGCACCAAACAAAAAUACAACCAAGGACCCUCACAGAGUCCACUUCACCCCACUGCUACCUCCACCAAAGCAACUGCUGGUAUCCACAGCUCAGAGACCUGAAGAUGGAUCACAUCACAAGACUCUUUGCAGACACUCCCCAGUACCAGCCCAUAACCAAGUAGGUCCAUUGGGUGGCUAGAUCCAGAAGACAAAUAAAAAUCACUGCAGUUCAGCUCUCAGGAAGCCCCAUCCCUAGGAGAAGGGAGAGAGCAUCACAUCAAGGGAGAACCCCAUGGGACAAAAGAAUCUGAACAGCAGUCCUUGAGUCCCAGAUAUUCCUUCCGACAUAGUCCACGCAAAUGAGAAGGAACCAGAACAACAAUUAUUCUAAUAUGACAAACAAGGUUCUUUAACACCCCCAAAAGAUCAUACUAGCUCACCAGCAAUGGCUCCAAACCAAGACAAAAAUCUCUGAAUUGCCAGAAAAAGUAUUCAAGCUGAUGAUUAAGCUAAUCAAGGAGGCACCAGAGAAAGGUGAAGUCCAACUUAAAGCAAUGAAAAAAAUGAUAUAGGAUAUGAAUGGAAAAUCUCCAGUGAAACAGAUAGCAUAAAUAAAAAAUCACAACUUCUGGAAAUCAAGGACACACUUAGAGAAAUGCAAAAUGCACUGGAAAGUCUCAGCAAUAGAAUCAAACAAGUAGAAGAAAGAACUUCAGAGCUCAAAGACAAGGUUUUCAAAUUAAACCAAUCCAAAA
rnacentral:lncRNA from 1 species